GGAGACUUCUCCAAAAUAGCAAGUAUGACCCAACUUACACCAAAAUGGCAUACAAUUAGAUAAGCACAAGGGAGAGAUGAGAUGGCAGCCCCAAAAAUAGGAGCCUUUGCCCCCAAGACUUUCUCAAUUAGGUAAAGGAACAUGAUGCCAAGAAAGAGAUGGAGCUGGCAGCCAAAAAAUAGGAGGCUUUGCCCCCAAGUUUCCACACAAGAGGCCUAUAUAAACUUCCUCCCCACCUCCUUUUUCCUCCACCACUUUGACACCCCAAAUUCCACAAACUUAGAACUUUCGGUGAGGAGUAGAGAGGAGGGCGAGGAGAAGCAGCGACAACGCGGAGGAACAGCCGCAUAAACCGAGGAUCCACCGAGUGAGGCUAUAUCUGCGAGUAAAGGCGGAGUGAGGAAAAAUCAAUUUAAGGAGUUUUAAGCGAACGAGGUUGAGCAGUGAUGACGGCGGGCGGUGUUGAGUAUAGACGAUGAAGAUCCUUCGAUAGAAUAGUACUUGGAUGCGUCGUGUCUCCAUACACGAUGUCAUCUGCUCUUGACUCUUUCGCUGCAAUGUAAAAGUCGAGAUUUCAUUCUUUUGUACCAUGCACUCUGAUUUAUAUAUAUAUUCCAAGUUAUUUCAGUUCAA